rnacentral:sRNA from 14 species
GAAAGUGAGGGUCAUUUGUCUGUGACAUCUGUCACUCUAUCACCUGCCAGGCAGAUUUAGCUGAUGUGGUUAAAUGAUUCUUUCUCCCUCACUAUUCCAGGUGCCUCGGUUCCAAAGCUGCAGGAUCAGUUAGUUGAAAAAGAUGAAUUUUACUCACAGAGGAGGACAGUCUUAGGUGAAGUUCAGCUGAACUCUUCUGUUAGAGUGUGCAAACACUCUCAAGAGAUGCUCUCAUGCUUGCCUCAUGCCUGCUCUAACUU